AAAGACCAAGGAGUCGCCGGAGAUUUGUAAGAUCAAGGUCGGAGGAGCGAUCCUAAUGCACCACCUGGGUAAUAAACCUUCGUUGCUCGUUGUGAAAUUCGAUCACCAUGAAUCGUUGAUGAUUCCUUGCAUGAUCCUAAAAAAAUGUCAGUGGACUAGUGGAGUUGCAGGUGGUCUGCUGCUUUGAAUGGCAACAUAUUGUGUUCAUCCCUGCAGUAGAAGACCCGAGGCAAAUGGGUUAAUUGGAUUAUCUAGGUGCAUUCCAUCCGUGUUGUGUUCACAAAGCCUUCUGUAAUAUGAUGUAGAGAAUAGCUGAAAUUGGCAUGCUUAGGGCUUGACACUUGCUCAACCAAAAAUGCUCUUAAGCUCUGUUGGUGUUGUGGAGAUGCAUCAUAAGCAGGGCUGCCUCGUGAGCAGUUUGGCCAUUUGUUGUAUAGAGUAUCUGCAAAUACAUUGUACCGAAUUUGUUCGUGUUGCUGCUGUUCUACUUUGAUAUCUUUGUUCAAUGGGAAUUUUAGAAUCAAAUUUCGUCC
rnacentral:sRNA from 1 species